GCUAGUGGUGUCCAUGAUGUCGACCCAGUUAUUGAAACGAAGACUAGAAAUUCAUAGCAUAUCACCACUUGCGCACCGAAGUUUCAGUUCCUUUGUCGUCCCCAGUGCAGUAGAUCUUUGUGUUGUGAAAUUCGGCUACUUUUUGGCGAAGAAGAGGAAUCGAGAUAUUUCUCACCGUUGAUUACUCCGCUUCGACAUAAUAAAACUCUCGUGUUAUAACAGCUGAAACACUCGCGAAAACAUUAUUCUGGUUACCAAACACGUUCAUGCUCAGAUUUAAACCAUAUUUCUUAAGUAGUAUUGAUGUCAAAUUAAAUCUGAACACUAUGCUGAGGUUUGUUUUCCUUAGGGCGAAAGAACAAACAGCUGACUCACUGUGCGUUAUACCAACCACGCGGAUAUGGUUUAUAUAUAGACUUUGCGGUGAUGUUAUGCUGGUUAUGGAACGAAGUCGUUUCCUAUCAUUUUGUAUAGUCCGCAAAUUCAUAAAUAUUAUUGAUCAUAUCAUUUUGCAAGCGCACCAAAACAGUAAAAUAUAAACAUAGUGAAACUGUGCCCAUGCAUUCUUUGAAUGUGUGGUUGUUAAUCUUUCGUGGCACCGCUGAAUCCAGCACACAACUGCAAUGGUGAAGAAUCCACAUUAAUGUAAAUACAUGGUUUCUCUGAAUAUUAUUUCAAGAUGCAGCAGCUCAUAAUUACAAGUGACAGCACUUGCAACCUGGACGUAAGCAUUUCUCACAUAAACUUUAGCAGUGUAGCCAUGUAUUGAACUGAAACGUGGAUGAUAAGCAGUUCAGACAACAAUAAAAUAGCAGUUUUUGGAAUGUGAUGUUACAUCAAAAUGCUGAAGAUUGGAUGGGUAAGUAAUAAAUUGGUCAUAAAUCAAAUUGGGUAAAAAGGAAAGGACACAUUCUGAGGUGUCAAGGAAUUGUCACUGGUAUUGGAGGAAAGUAUGUAUGUAAUAACUGGGAGACAAUGAAAUGAAUACAAUAAGCAAUUUCAAAUAGAUGCAGUUUGUAGUAGUUAUAUGCAGAUGAAGAAGCUUGCACAGGAUAUAUUAGCAUGGAGAUCUGCAACAAACCUGCCUUCUAACAGAAGAGAGACACCUCUCAUAAAAUAAGUAUUUGUAUAAUUCAUAUAAAUCUGUAAACUUGUCAAGAAAUGUGUAAAUAAAAGUACAACUUUUACU